rnacentral:lncRNA from 1 species
AUGUCAGGAUGCCUGAACUCGCUGGGGCUGUUGAAUGCGUUUCCUCUCGCCCGCGGUUCUCACACGGGGCGAGGGGGCCGCAUUGUCUGCCGUGCCCAUGCCUGGAGGGCUAAAUAUAGCCCUGCGCCGGGGGAAGGAAGGGAGUGGGUCUGGGGGCUGCUUUGCUUUCAUUGCGCAUUGUUGGUGGCGGGGCCGACAAGGGCAGGAUUGUGCCCUGCUUUGGUGCUGCCUCCGUGGUGGGUGCUGGGGCUCUGGGGUGCUUCAGGAGGGUGCUGCUGGCAUGGGGGGGGGGGGGGGGGGCUGCAGGCAAGCCNNNNNNNNNNNNNNNNNNNNGGGGGGGGGGGGGGGGGGGGGGGGGGCUGCAGGCAGAGCCGAGCCCCCAGUGAACACCCAGGGGCUCGACUGCUCCUGCCCUGGCCAUCUCCGGGUCCCCAUGGGCCGGGGGGGCCGUGCUGUGGCCCCAGUUGGCAUCACCUUGCCCAGCCUCUGCCCUUCCUCCCUUCCCAGCUGCAAUUUUGCUCCCGCCGCCGCCGCUCUUCCUGUGAGCAAGUCGGAUUUAGAAGCUUGCUCUUUUCUCUAUGCUGGGAAAGCUUAAAAAUAAACUCCUUGGUGCUCAGCCAGCUCCUCAGGCAGAUCCUUGCAGCGGGACGUGCUGCGGCAGCUCUCGCACUGCUCCUCUCCCCGGUCUGGGGCUGGGCUGUGCGGGGGAACCCAGCCUGGCCCCAAGCAGAGGGCAGGAUGCUCCCUGCAAACCCGUGGUCCUGGGGCUGUCGCAGGUACAGUGCUUUUGGGGGCUGGGGCUGGCAUUGGAGCAAUGGCCCCAGCGGGAACUGGGGUCCUGGGAAGUGCACAGCCUCUCCAGGGCUGGAAAGCUGCCCCCAAAUUCUUCCUGGAUUAGGAGGUGCUCUGAGUGGCGACCCAAAAACUGGCAGCAUGGCACUGGGGGUGCAUGGCUACGUGCCCAAGGGACACCCACGUCUGUGCAUCCUGAGCUUCAGGUUGUUGGAGGUCAGCUCAGGUGCACGUCCCGCUGACAGCCCCCUCUCCCCCUCUCUGCUGCCCUUGAACACAUCCCAUUGCUCUCUGGGCACUCGCUUUUCUUCUAGUGUGUGCAGAAACAGCCCCACGCUGCUGCCUGCACCCACGGAGCAAAGCGUGCACGUUGGGCACGGCACGGGGAGGUCUCCCACUGGGUUAGUUUUUGGGGGCUGCACCUCCGAAAAUCCCUUCAGCCUCGGAUUGGGAUAA